UCAGGACCCCGGACAGCAAGCGUCCCCGCCACCUGACCCCGCGUCACCCAGGGUCCCCCUGCAGCUCACAACUAGGGAUAAAGCCCUCCCUUCGGCGCCUCCCUCUACUGCCCCUCCGCCUCGCCUCGCACGAGUAAUGGCCCUGCCUCCAGGUAUCUGGCCCCACAUUAUCCAGACAGGCCUACUCUAUCUUCUUUUCCCUUUUUAUUCCUGGUACCUACCUUCUCCUCCAAGUCCACUCAGGCUACUCUGUAUCGAGGGCGGAGGAAGCUUCGAUACCUAAGGGAGAGAGAAGUUGGGAUAGAAGGAAAUGUCAGACAUAUCAUAGACUUUCCUGUACCAUUAGUCAUCUUUUUCUGUGAGUAUGCUUGACUUUCUGAGGAGAGUUGAUUCAGCUUUAUACAGCUUUUUUAUCUAGGAGCGCCUAGCACAGAAUUUGGUCAGUAGACAUGUGCUGUUGAUGGCUGCUUCUCUUUUUUUCUUAAAUCACCAGCCUUGUGAGGAAGUUUGGCAUAGUCUCCAGUUGAUUCCUAGAUCCCUGCAAGAGAGCCUGUGAGCUUUACCCACCCUUCACUGGUUUUUCCUCCUGUGUCCUGGUUC